GAUCUAUACUUGACAAAUAUGUGCUUGGAGAGAAGCUGGGACAGGGAAACUGUGGCACUGUCUAUCUGGCUACACGGAAAUCUGAUGGCCAGAAGGUUGCCAUAAAAGUUGUGAAUAAGGACUUAAGGAGUUUCGGAUACUGGUACACUAUGAAUGGACGUACUAUCCCGGAAGCAUAUCAUAUGAUGGUCCUCAAGGAACCUCCGCUCUGCCCGCACAUCAUUGAGCUGUACGAGUACGCCAUGGAGGGAAGGAAUAACUACCUGGUCAUGGAGUACGCGUCCUCGUACAUAACCUUGGAUAAAUUCAUCAGGAAGAACAAUGGCCUCCUGAGUGAGAGUGUUGCGCGGCAGCUGAUCAUGCAGCUCAUUAUCGCAACACAGCGCUGCCUUGAGCAUGGCAUAGAACAUGAGUCCAUACAUAAAGAAAACAUCCUGGUCAAUCCAAAGACCCUGCAGCUCAAGCUGAUUGAUUUUGGCAACAGUUAUUAUACUCAAAAAGGCUACUGGAGAUCCCCCUAUCUUGGAGUAACGAGAUACCGUCUACAGGAGGGGGAACCCUACAGAUCCAUUCGUUUUGCUGUUGAUUCACAUGUCAUGGCUGUUUUACUAAUGCUGUCCUAUAUGGUCAAUGGAUAUUUCCCUUACUCCAGAUAUAAACGUCCACGAUUUCACCCCAGAUUGUCAGCAGAAUGCAAGGAUCUUCUUCGGUGGAUAAUCAGUUACCACCCUCGAACAGGACCUGUUUUAGAGGAGAUUAUAGAGCACAAGUGGUUCAGCAUGACGUAGAGCCCAUCAGCAGCAGGAAACAGGUUUUAUACUUCCAUUUACGUCAGAUUGUUUUGCUGUUUUCCGCUUCUGCUUCCCAAAUUCUGCACUUCCUCCUGCGAGUGUUGCAGUCAGAGCUGCAUGUAAAUGAGGGCCGGUUGAAGCGUCCCUAUUGGUCCACCAGCUCUAGACCGACAGC
ensembl:processed_transcript